rnacentral:rRNA from 1 species
AUUGAACGCUGGCGGCAAGCCUAACACAUGCAAGUCGAACGAGUGGCGGACGGGUGAGCAAUGUCUGGGAAACUGCCUGAUGGAGGGGGAUAACUACUGGAAACGGUAGCUAAUACCGCAUACCAUCGGAUGUGCCCAGAUGGGAUUAGCGAGUAGGUGGGGUAAAGGCUCACCUAGGCGACGAUCCCUAGCUGGUAUGAGAGGAUGACCAGCCACACCGGAACUUAUACACGGUCCAGACUCCUGCGGAAUGACGCAGUGGGGAAUAGUGCACAAUGGGCGCAAGUCUGAUGCUGCCAUGCCGCGUGUAUGAAGAAGGCCUUCUGGUUGUAGAGUACUUUCAGCGGGGAGGCGUUACCCUCAGAAGAAGCACCGGCUAACUCCGUGCCAGCAGCCGCGGUAAUAC